rnacentral:lncRNA from 1 species
GCCUUUGUUACCAGUGGCCUGUUUUUAUCACAACUUAAAAGAAACCUAAGCUUGCAGAAGCUUGCAGCUUGUUCCUACCUAAAAUAAUGUUAGUAUUCUGUAUUCCCUUUGUGCUUUCCUUCAUUAAAUGUUCCAGCAUGAAUCAGAUCUUCUUCUCCUAAUAGCUAGAGAGGGUUUCAUCUACUGCUGUAGCCUUGGAGGAGUCUUGGUAGCCUCCUGUUUCCAGGGGCUGGCCAGCCGUGUUGGAAGUGCUGAGGAGAACUGUACAUUUCUUUCCAAGCCAGAGAAAGCAUCUGCCUUUGCGCUCAAGAAGAUAGUUUGAACAUCCUCUAAACAGCAGUAAGUGAGGUGAGUAGCUUGAACGCGCGAGCAGCAUGCUCACAAUCC